AACGAUAAAGUUGUUUUUAAUCAACUUUAUUUAAUAAAUAUUAUUUAAUUAAGAACCUUUACGUAGUUUUUUGGUGCAUAGGACCUGACGCGUAAAAACUAGACUCUGCUAUGCUUACUCUGGUGCAAAAUACCAGAGUUUACACGGUCAUAGGGCUACUUUUUACUUUGUCAAAUUCUAUUGUCAAAAAUUAGACAACUGGUGCAUAGCAUGUGCUUACUACCUUGGCGACGCUUACGUUUGAGCUAAAGCAGUUUACUCCUCAGAAACACUGGUAUGCUUUAGCUACAAGCGGCUAAACAAGGUGUGUGUUGUAGCGUGUCAUUAAGCUCGGUGCUUACCUCUUCAUCCCGUAAAGGGAAACCGAAGGGGGACCAGCGUUUCCCCUUCGUUUUCUUCCCCAUUGGGGAACCAAAGUCUCCGUCCCCUUUAGGGGAAGAAGGGUAACACCCCUUCGUUUUCUUCCCCUUUGGGGAACCAAAGUCUCCGUCCCCUUUAGGGGAAGAAGGGUAACACCCCUUCGUUUUCUUCCCCUUUGGGGAACCAAAGUCUCCGUCCCCUUUAGGGGAAGAAGGGUAACACCCCUUCGUUUUCGUCCCCUAAAGGGGGAACCCCUUCGGUUCCCCUUUAGGGGAUGAAUGCGCUGUAAGGUAGCCCUUCAAGCUACGCUAGAACGUAGUAACGUCGAACGGUCUCGCGGCAGCCCAGGCUG
rnacentral:lncRNA from 1 species